UACAGAGGUCUCAAGCGUUGUUCGGAAUCACUGGGCGUAAAGGGUGCGUAGGCGGCGAGGAAAGUCAGAUGUGAAAUCCGAGGGCCCAACCCUCGAAUAGCAUCCGAUACUUCCCUGCUCGAGAUUUGUAGAGGAGUCUGGAACUCUCGGUGUAGCAGUGAAAUGCGUGGAUAUCGAGAAGAACGCUCGUAGCGAAGGCGAGGCUCUGGGCAAAUUCUGACGCUGAGGCACGAAGGCUAGGGGAGCAAACGGG
rnacentral:rRNA from 1 species